CUAGAAUUCCCAUUUCCCUCUCAAUUCCCUCUCAAUUCUCUUUCUUGCUCUCACACUGAACUCUAACCGUUAAAACUCUACAAACCUCUUCCUCCACCUUCGCUGCCGCACUCUCGCACACCCCGCCACCGCCGGCUUCUCCUCCAUCACAGACGGACACUCGAACUCGGUGCUGCACUGCUGGCUGCUGCUACCCUGUGGGCUGUGGGUUGUUCGAAUUGAAUCAAAGAAUCCCUAAAAAUCGUAAUUUUUGAUUUUGUUUAAGGGGACUCAUUCAUUGUAAGAGACGAAGAAAAGAGGUGGAAGGUCACACAGUUGCCCGAUGAAACUGUCAGAAUUCUGCACCUGAACUUUGCUGACCAGCCCUCCUUUCAUGAGUUGUCCAGAGCUGAUACUCGUAUCCUAGGAAGAAUAAAGGCUAGAAAUAGAAUAUUCAUACAAGGAUCUUUCCAUCAAGACCUUAAGUGCCUUUUGCAAAUCACAGAAGAUACCCAAGAAAUGAUGCUGAAGUGAUGCUUAUGGGAACUUUGGUAUAUGACAUUAGAUACUCAUUCUCGGAAUAUUUGUGCACACUUCUUGUUGCUGGAGGUGUGUCGAUUUUUGCACUCUCUAAGCUCAAUAGACGAGUUCAAAGACCAUUAAUAAGCUGGCAAGUCCGAAUGCACCUCUUGGAUAUGGGCUUUGUUUCUUGAACCUUGCUUUUGACGGGUUUACCAAUGCUACACAGGAUUCAAUUACAGCAAGUUUUCCCCUGGGGCUCCUUCAACUUAUUCUCAAGAGAGCGUUGAUCAAGUUCGAGAUUUAUGGAUUUCUUACGUUGUCAAACAUAGGCAACAAAAAUUAGAGAAGGAAGCAGAAGAUUUGGAAGAUGUGUUAUAAGAUCAUAUCGAUGGAAAUUUUUAGUCUAAUUAUAUGAUGAAAUGAUUUAUAAUUUUUGCUAUUGGUAUAGCAUGUAUGAACGCGUAUAUUUAAUGGUAUAUAUGGAUUAGUAUAAAUUAUAUCGUAUUGGUAUUUUUAUUUAUUAAUAUAGGUAUUUUGUCAUAUAAAUGGUGGUUUAAAAAUAAAAGGAAAUUGCAAUUGUACGACUUUUUUAUUAGUA